CCAGCAGCCGCGGUAAUACGUAGGGGGCUAGCGUUAUCCGGAUUUACUGGGCGUAAAGGGUGCGUAGGCGGUCUUUUAAGUCAGGAGUGAAAGGCUACGGCUCAACCGUAGUAAGCUCUUGAAACUGGAGGACUUGAGUGCAGGAGAGGAGAGUGGAAUUCCUAGUGUAGCGGUGAAAUGCGUAGAUAUUAGGAGGAACACCAGUAGCGAAGGCGGCUCUCUGGACUGUAACUGACGCUGAGGCACGAAAGCGUGGGGAGCAAACAGGAUUAGAUACCCUGGUAGUCCACGCCGUAAACGAUGAGUACUAGCUGUCGGAGGUUACCCCCUUCGGUGGCGCAGCUAACGCAUUAAGUACUCCGCCUGGGGAGUACGCUCGCAAGAGUGAAACUCAAAGGAAAUGACGGGGACCCGCACAAGUAGCGGAGCAUGUGGUUUAAUUCGAAGCAACGCGAAGAACCUUACCUAAGCUUGACAUCCUUUUGACCGAUGCCUAAUCGCAUCUUUCCCUUCGGGGACAGAAGUGACAGGUGGUGCAUGGUUGUCGUCAGCUCGUGUCGUGAGAUGUUGGGUUAAGUCCCGCAACGAGCGCAACCCUUGCCUUUAGUUGCCAUCAUUAAGUUGGGCACUCUAGAGGGACUGCCAGGGAUAACCUGGAGGAAGGUGGGGAUGACGUCAAAUCAUCAUGCCCCUUAUGCUUAGGGCUACACACGUGCUACAAUGGGUGGUACAGAGGGCAGCGAAGUCGUGAGGCCAAGCUAAUCCCUUAAAGCCAUUCUCAGUUCGGAUUGUAGGCUGAAACUCGCCUACAUGAAGCUGGAGUUACUAGUAAUCGCAGAUCAGAAUGCUGCGGUGAAUGCGUUCCCGGGUCUUGUACACACCGCCCGUCACACCAUGGGAGUUGGGGGCGCCCGAAGCCGGCUAGCUAACCUUUUAGGAAGCGGUCGUCGAAGGUGAAACCAAUAACUGGGGUGAAGUCGUAACAAGGUAGCCGAU
rnacentral:rRNA from 1 species